rnacentral:rRNA from 1 species
GGAGUUAGCCGGUGCUUCUUCUGUGAGUGAUGUCCUUCCUGCCGGCUAUUAACCCGCAGGCCUUCUUCCUCACUGAAAGUGCUUUACAACCCGAAGGCCUUCUUCACACACGCGGCAUGGCUGGAUCAGGGUUGCCCCCAUUGUCCAAUAUUCCCCACUGCUGCCUCCCGUAGGAGUCUGGGCCGUGUCCUCAGUCCCAGUGUGGCUGAUCAUCCUCUCAGACCAGCUACGGAUCGUCGCCUUGGUGAGCCGUUACCUCACCAACCAGCUAAUCCGACAUAGGCUCAUCCGAUAGCGCGAGGCCCGAAGGUCCCCCGCUUUCCCCCGUAGGGCGUAUGCGGUAUUAGCCUGGGUUUCCCCCAGGUUAUCCCCCACUACCGGGCAGAUUCCUAUGCAUUACUCACCCGUCCGCCGCUCGCCACCAGGGAGCAAGCUCCCCGUGCUGCCGCUCGACUUGCAUGUGUUAGGCCUGCCGCCAGCGUUCAAUCUGAGCCAGGAUCAAACUCUGA